GGUGGACAUUUUUAAGCAGGUAUGUAAGCCCUGGCCAACUUCAGCACCUCACACAUCACCUCGCAACCUGCAUCUCUUCAAUCUGCUGCUGAGAAAUACUUAAUUAUGAGUACCAACUACAUGAGCGUUGGCAGGAUUCUGUUUAAAGGGGACUACCUCCUGUCUAACAAUAGAAAGUCCAAAGCUAUCUUUCAGGAUGAUGGCAACUUUGUGGUCUACACUAAUGACAAGGCUGUCUGGGCUUCAAACACUGCCAACACAGCCGCUCUACAGGUUAUAAUGCAAGGGGAUGGUAACCUGGUCAUCUAUACCAAUCAAAGUCCCAUCUGGAGCUCUAAAACCAGUGGUGGCAACAAAGAUGUGCUACCCUUUCUUCGACUGAAUGAUGAAGGUGUCCUGGUUCUUACAUUAGGUGGAGGGGUGAUCUGGAAAUCAAAAUAAGCUACAAGGUGGUCUGGUCCUCAAUGGGGCUGAAAAUGAGUAACAUCCAUUUUCACAAAAAUGUGUUUUCAGAUUUUCAAAAUCUUUGCAAUUCUUUCAAUAAAAGAACAUGACUUCAAAGUG